rnacentral:rRNA from 1 species
CCGUUCGCUUAUGAUUGGAGGGGGAUAACUACUGGGAAACGGGGGCUAAUACCGCAUAACGUCUCUAGACCAUAGAGGGGGACCUUCGGCCCUCUUGCCUCAUAUGUGCCCAGAUGGGAUUAUCUUGUUGGUGAGGUAACGGCUCACCUAGGCCACUAUCCCUAGCUGGUCUGAGAGGAUGACCACCCACUCUGGUUCUGACACACGGUCCAGACUCCUACGGGAGGCAGCAGUGGAGAAUAUUGCACAAUGGGCGCAAGCCUGAUGCACCCGUGCCGCGUGUAUGAAGAAGGCCUUCGGGUUGUAAAGUACUUUCAGCGGGGAGGAAGGUGUUGUGGUUAAUAACCACAGCAUUUGACGUUACCCGCAAAAGAAGCACCGGCUAACUCCGUGCCUUCAGCCGCGGUAAUACGGAGGGUGCACGCGUUAAUCGGAAUUACUGGGCGUAAAGCGCACGCGGGCGGUCUGUCAAGUCAGAUGUGAAAUCCCCGGUCUCAACCUGUUUAUCUGCAUUCGAAACUGGCAGGCUUGUGUCUUGUAGAGGGGGGUAGAUUUCCAGGUGUAGCUGUGAAAUGCGUAGAGAUCUGGAAGAAUACCGGUGGCGUAUGCGGCCCCGUGGUCUUUGACUGACUCUCUUGUGCGAAAGCGUGGUGAGCACACAAGAUUAGAUACCCUGGUAGUCCACGCCGUACACUAUGUCCUCUUGGAUGUUGUGCCCUUGAUGCGUGUCUUCCAGAGCUAACGCGUUAA